UUUGGGAAUCUUCCGCAAUGGGUGAAAGCCUGACGGAGCAAUACCGCGUGAGGGACGAAGGCCCUCUGGGCUGUAAACCUCUUUUCUCAAGGAAGAAGAUAUGACGGUACUUGAGGAAUAAGCCACGGCUAAUUCCGUGCCAGCAGCCGCGGUAAUACGGGAGUGGCAAGCGUUAUCCGGAAUUAUUGGGCGUAAAGCGUCCGCAGGCGGCUUUUCAAGUCUGCUGUUAAAGCGUGGAGCUUAACUCCAUCAUGGCAGUGGAAACUGAAAGGCUUGAGUAUGGUAGGGGCAGAGGGAAUUCCCGGUGUAGCGGUGAAAUGCGUAGAUAUCGGGAAGAACACCAGUGGCGAAGGCGCUCUGCUGGGCCAUCACUGACGCUCAUGGACGAAAGCCAGGGGAGCGAAAGGGAUUAGAUACCCCUGUAGUCA
rnacentral:rRNA from 1 species